UGGGUGCGCGGCGGCACGCCUUCUACACAGUGUGUAUUUUUUGAGUUGCUUUGGGUGGGCUGGGCCGAGUGCUGGGCCGAGUGCUGGGCCGAGUGCUAGGCGGAGCCUAGUGCUUGGCUGUGCGUGGUUCUGCGUGGCUCUGCGUGGCUGAGCCCUGCUGAGCCCUGCUGAGCCCUGCUGAGCCUGACCCCCCGCCCAGAGGCUAAACACAAGGAUUUUAUUCUUUCCAACCACAGUCAGGAAAAUUUUAAUUACUAAAAUCUUCAAAACUUUCAACAACGGAUCUCUUGGUUCUCGCAACGAUGAAGAACGCAGCGAAUUGCGAUAAGUAUUGUGAAUUGCAGAUUUUCGUGAAUCAUCGAAUCUUUGAACGCACAUUGCACCCUCUGGCAUUCCGGAGGGUAUGCCUGUUUGAGCGUCAUUUCUCUCUCUAGCUGUCCACUGGUGUCUGCCUAGCCUUUAGGAAGACACCAGCGGCACGGCCAGGUAUUGAGUGAUACUCGCCCCAGGGUUAACUUGAAAUAAGAUCUCGGCAAGAGCCCCCCCGCCAGCAAGCUUCGGCCCCAGCGUUAAUGUAUUAGGUUCUACCAACUCGUUAGCAGGGACUGUAGGCGGAGUGGGGCGCGGCUCGGCCUAACAACAUCUACCUAAAGUUUGACCUCAAAUCAGGUAGGACUACCC
rnacentral:rRNA from 1 species